AUUGAACGCUGGCGGCAUGCCUUACACAUGCAAGUCGAACGGUAACAGGUCUUCGGAUGCUGACGAGUGGCGAACGGGUGAGUAAUACAUCGGAACGUGCCUAGUAGUGGGGGAUAACUACUCGAAAGAGUGGCUAAUACCGCGUGAGAUCUACGGAUGAAAGCAGGGGAUCGCAAGACCUUGUGCUACUCGAGCGGCCGAUGGCAGAUUAGGUAGUUGGUGGGAUAAAAGCUUACCAAGCCGACGAUCUGUAGCCAGUCUGAGAGGACGAUCAGCCACACUGCGACUGAGAAACGGCACAGACUCCUACGGGGGGCAGCAUUGGUGAAUUUUGGACAAUGGGCGCAAGCCUGAUCCAGCAAUGCCGCGUGCAGGAUGAAGGCCUUCGGGUUGUAAACUGCUUUUGUACGGAACGAAAAGCCCCGGGUUAAUACCCUGGGGUCAUGACGGUACCGUAAGAAUAAGCACCGGCUAACUACGUGCCAGCAGCCGCAGUAA
rnacentral:rRNA from 1 species